CCGGCGCUGCGUUUGAAGCCCGGCCCGCGGAGACGCUCUGAUCCUGAACUGUGUCAGCGAGCGGCGGUGAUUUCUGGCUGACGGGACGUUAUCGUCUGAUAUUCUAAUUAGUGCUACAUCAAAACAGGAAGGAGGUCUGCGGCUCCCCGAGGACAGGAUGCCUGUCCAACAACGCCUCUGUCUCUCUGCAGGGAGGAGUCGAGGCAAAAUAAAAACCAGAACGUGUUCGAAGCUCAGAUGAGGAAGAAACGUCCAGAGAUGGAGAGGAGGAAGAGGAGGGAGCGACGAAGAGGCGAGGAAGAGGAGGAGGAAGAAUAACCUGCAGUUUGAUCGCGAAGCCAAAGAACUGGAAGAAAAUUAGAAAAUAUUUCACAAGAAUCUGCAGCUCUUCUUUCAUCAGCUCAAUAAAGGAUGAAGGAAUGAGGACGACUCCGAAUGCUCCGCAGUCCGUCAGGUGCAGCGCGCCGUCCUGCAGCUGCGCCUCUUUUAAACCCGGAAAGGUCAAGCUGAGGUCAUGUGAUCGCUGCGGACACGGCUGGGUGG